rnacentral:tRNA from 1 species
AAAAUCCGUUGGCUUUAGACCGUGAGGGUUCAAGUCCCUCUACCCCCA